GGACAGAGUUGGACUGGGCAGGGGGCACAAGGGAACUUUCUGGAGAGAUGGAAAUGUUCUAUAUCUCGACAGCAGUGUGGAUUAGACAGAUGAAUGCAACUGUCAGAACCCCAAAUCUGCAUUUCACUGUAUGCAAUUAAACCUUAAUGAAAACAAAGUGAAACUCAUCCUUAAACUCGGUCCUUGGGGCUGCUCUACUCCAGUACUGCUAACGGUGGAGAACAAACUGCAGCUGAGAAUAACAGUGCUGAGACAGGGAGCCUGGAGGUUCAAGAGGAUGGAAGACGUUCACACAGAACUGACGAAACAAAGCUGAAGAGCUGCCUUCCUAAUCCCUUAACAGACACACACACAAACCAAUUCACUGCCACCUUAGGAAAAUUACCAAUGAGAACCUGACACUUAAACAGCCUCAGGCCCUACAGACUUUACAGUGC